UAGGGAUGGGGGCCGCCCUGUAAGUCAGGGAGCAUCUGUGUCCCGGAGUCCCAGGCCCUUUUCAAUGGCGGCAGUGGCCGGGGGUCCCCUGUAAGCAGGGAAGCUGACUCUUUGGCUGCUGCUUUUUGUGUGCCCAGCCCCAUUUGCCCAGUCUGCCCGCCUCUGUGAUCCCCCGCAGCACUGGCUGGAAGUCCGCCGCGCAUCAGUGAGGAGCUGCUGCAGAAGAAAGAAGAAGCAGCAGCGUGGGGACCUGGGCGGCAGGAGCGAGCAAGCAAGAAGAGGAAGCGGAAGCGUGCAGAUGCGGGGGGGAAGGAGAGAGGCUCCCUGGGCAAAGCACCUGUCCCGUUAGCGGGGGCACAGUCACGUUUGAGUUGAGCGCUGCCGGUGCCUCUGGCGUCCCGGCGGGCUUUGUGCUGGGCGACCUCCCUGUAAGCAGGGCUCGGGUCUUUGCUGUAGUUGGCCUUUUGCCUUGCUGCUCCUAGGGCUGCCUGGGGAGCGUGGCCCCCUGUAACGGAGGGCGAGAGUCACCUCUCCGCACCUGAGUGGGAAAUGGAGCUCGCCGGACCCCGAGGCCACCCUGUAAGCAGGGUAGUGCCGCUUCCCUGCCCCUCUUUGUCCUCCCGGCCCCUCGGCAUCGUUGCCUGGUGGUGGCCUGUCAACGCGACGGCCCCGUACUCGGGGUGCGCGCCACAGCAUUUGGCAUUUGGCCUUUGGCUUUACCCGAGAAGCCCCAUGGCACGUUGAGGUCUGUGGCCUCCGUGCAGCCUAGGGACAGGUCACAGGCUCUUGUCUGUUGCCCGUGGUUGUGGGUUUAUUCCCAGGUGUUGGCUGUGCUGCGUUGUCCUUCCCUUCUGGAAAGUCGUGCCUGUGUGUGCGUGUUCCCCUUCCUUUCCUUGUUUGUGUUUGUGGAGUGGUUGAGCGGGUGUGCUUUCCCUUUAGGCCUCCACAAAGAUGGCUGCAGCUUAGCUUUGACUUCCCAGGGGGGAAUGGAGGACUUUGGUGCAUGCCGCAAAAGGGGUGUUCCCUCUUAGUCCUGCGAGCGCAGCGAGUGUCCUGUCUUCCUACUAUUUUCCUUAGUGCAGAU
rnacentral:lncRNA from 1 species